AUUGAACGCUGGCGGAAUGCUUUACACAUGCAAGUCGAACGGCAGCACGGACUUCGGUCUGGUGGCGAGUGGCGAACGGGUGAGUAACAUAUCGGAACGUAUCCAAUAAUGGGGGAUAACGAGUCGAAAGAUUCGCUAAUACCGCAUACGCCCUACGGGGGAAAGCUGGGGACCUUCGGGCCUGGCGUUAAUGGAGCGGCCGAUAUCUGAUUAGCUAGUUGGUGAGGUAAAGGCUCACCAAGGCGAAGAUCAGUAGCUGGUCUGAGAAGACGACCCGCCACACUGGAACUGAGAAACGGUCCAGACUACUACGGGAGGCAGCAAUGUGGAAUUUUGGACAAUGGGCGCAAGCCUGAUCCAGCCAUUCCGCGUGAGUGAAGAAGGCCUUCGGGUUGUAAAGCUCUUUCGCAAGGGAAGAAAACUUAGCCACUAACAUUGGUUGAGGUUGACGGUACCUUGAUAAGAAGCACCGGCUAACUACGUGCCAGCAGCAGCCGCAG
rnacentral:rRNA from 1 species